CCCAAUAUAGACUGAUGCACAAACAGCAACAGUAGAUACUGUAUGCUUGUAGAUAGAUGCAUUCUUCUUGGAGGAGGCUAUUACAAACAGUCAUUGCUAGGUGACAGCAAAACUGUGAUUUAGCUUUGGAAUGUAGCAGCCUGUUCUAGUCCCAUGAAGUCUGUACUGUAGGCAAUGUAAUGACUGCAGCCUACUUUCCAUUUACACGAGAGUGACAUGCUGCUUUCAACAUUUAAUGAAACUGGAAGGGUGUAAGUUACUUCUGGCAUCCUGUGGCUCCGCGCAGAAGUGGCGCGUUGGACUCCCUCCUCACAAAAGGCAGGACAUUUGUCCUUGCUGAGACUACAGCUGUGCAUGCCCCAUGUAGACCCACCACCGCAGAUGUUUCCUCAGGAGAAAAAGAAGUCAGCUACCCAGGAAGGGUGACCUCUGCCCUUCCCUGCCUCUUGCUGUCUGUCACCUUCACUGGGAACUCACUAAGCUUUGCUCUGCAGGAAGCACAAUUAAAUGCUAACAUCUCCAUUGCACUCCCAUCAGGUGAGUCCACUCUGGAAAUUUAUUUGGUGGCCCAUGGAAUCAGACGGCGAGGCAGACAUUGUGACUGUAAUGCUGUAGCAUUUGAUACCCCUUUACAGUAAAAGUGUCGAAGAAUACAGGUGUCAUUUGGCCCAAAUUGUAAGCUGCCUCCGAGGUAGUUGUACCACAUGAUAAAAGCU
rnacentral:lncRNA from 1 species